rnacentral:rRNA from 1 species
UACGUAGGGGGCAAGCGUUGUCCGGAAUCACUGGGCGUAAAGCGCGCGCAGGCGGCUAUCUACGUCCGGGGUGAAAGCCCAGAGCUCAACUCUGGGACUGCCUUGGAUACGGGAUGGCUUGAGGAUCGGAGAGGCAAGGGGAAUUCCACGUGUAGCGGUGAAAUGCGUAGAGAUUGGAAAGAACACCGAUGGCGAAGGCACUUUACUGGGCUAUUACUAACACUGAGAGACGAAAGCUAGGGGAGCGAAUGGG